rnacentral:rRNA from 1 species
AAGCCAUGCAUGUCUAAGUAUAAGCAAUCUAUACGGUGAAACUGCGAAUGGCUCAUUAAAUCAGUUAUCGUUUAUUUGAUAGUACCUUACUACUUGGAUAACCGUGGUAAUUCUAGAGCUAAUACAUGCUAAAAACCUCGACUUCGGAAGGGGUGUAUUUAUUAGAUAAAAAACCAAUGCCCUUCGGGGCUCCUUGGUGAUUCAUAAUAACUUAACGAAUCGCAUGGCCUUGUGCCGGCGAUGGUUCAUUCAAAUUUCCGCCCUAUCAACUUUCGAUGGUAGAGUAGUGGUCUACCAUGGUUU